GCGGCAGACGGGUGAGUAACGCGUGGGAACGUACCUUUUGGUUCGGAACAACACAGGGAAACUUGUGCUAAUACCGGAUAAGCCCUUACGGGGAAAGAUUUAUCGCCGAAAGAUCGGCCCGCGUCUGAUUAGCUAGUUGGAGGGGUAACGGCCCACCAAGGCGACGAUCAGUAGCUGGUCUGAGAGGAUGAUCAGCCACAUUGGGACUGAGACACGGCCCAACCUUCUACGGGAGGCAGCAGUGGGGAAUAUUGGACAAUGGGCGCAAGCCUGAUCCAGCCAUGCCGCGUAAGUGAUGAAGGCCCUAGGGUUGUAAAGCUCUUUUGUGCGGGAAGAUAAUGACGGUACCGCAAGAAUAAGCCCCGGCUAACUUCGUGCCAGCAGCCGCGGUAAUACGAAGGGGGCUAGCGUUGCUCGGAAUCACUGGGCGUAAAGGGUGCGUAGGCGGGUCUUUAAGUCAGGGGUGAAAUCCUGGAGCUCAACUCCAGAACUGCCUUUGAUACUGAGGAUCUUGAGUUCGGGAGAGGUGAGUGGAACUGCGAGUGUAGAGGUGAAAUUCGUAGAUAUUCGCAAGAACACCAGUGGCGAAGGCGGCUCACUGGCCCGAUACUGACGCUGAGGCACGAAAGCGUGGGGAGCAAACAGGAUUA
rnacentral:rRNA from 1 species